GCCUGGGGCCGGCCGCGCUCUCGGGCUCGCAGGCGCUGGGGCUCGGCUCCGGCUCCGGCUCCGCGCCGCUGGCUCUGCGUCGCUCGCACUCCAGCCGGGGGCACCCUCAUACCAGGCUGACUGACGUCCCUGGCACCCAAAUGUCGCGGGGAGUGCGGGGCCAGGGUGCGCCCUCCCUCCUCCUCCAGCCAGUGAAACCCGGGACAGCGGCACCCAGCCCCAGGGCGGAGGCCGUCUCUGCUGCGCGCAGCGACGCACCCAGGCCCAAGGGCCGGGAGAUCCGCGGGGAACCCGGAGACCUGCGUCCCAGAGGGGCCGAGGGUUGCACCGCGCCCGCUCCCACGGGCCUCUUCCGAGAGGACGCUUCUCCCGCGUGUCCGCGGGAAGUCCUCGGAUCCUGGAUGAGAAAGAGCCUUCUCUCACCGGCUCCCAGACCCCGCGCUUUUUAAUACCUGUCCUUGCAGAGCGACUGGUCAUUUUAGGCCCGAGUCAAGCCUCUCUUGAUUAAUAAAUGACCAUGGCUCGUUUUGUUUUAAGUGUGCGUGGAUGUAUACGUUGUAUUGUUUUGCAAUUCAACACCGCAAAGAUCUGGGAAAAGUUCUUCACCUGCAUUAAGGAAAGCAAUUACAAACUCGUAGUGCAAACCAGAAGAGCCAGAAAA
rnacentral:antisense_RNA from 1 species